GAUGAACGCUGGCGGCGUGCCUAAUACAUGCAAGUCGAGCGAACGGACGAGAAGCUUGCUUCUCUGAUGUUAGCGGCGGACGGGCGAGUAACACGUGGAUAACCUACCUAUAAGACUGGGAUAACUUCGGGAAACCGGAGCUAAUACCGGAUGAUAUUUUGAACCGCAUGGUUCAAAAGUGAAAGACGGUCUUGCUGUCACUUAUAGAUGGAUCCGCGCUGCAUUAGCUAGUUGGUAAGGUAACGGCUUACCAAGGCAACGAUGCAUAGCCGACCUGAGAGGGUGAUCGGCCACACUGGAACUGAGACACGGUCCAGACUCCUACGGGAGGCAGCAGUAGGGAAUCUUCCGCAAUGGGCGAAAGCCUGACGGAGCAACGCCGCGUGAGUGAUGAAGGUCUUCGGAUCGUAAAACUCUGUUAUUAGGGAAGAACAUAUGUGUAAGUAACUGUGCACAUCUUGACGGUACCUAAUCAGAAAGCCACGGCUAACUACG
rnacentral:rRNA from 1 species